rnacentral:lncRNA from 1 species
NNNNNNNNNNNNNNNNNNGCAUGCAAGCUUUAUGUUAGGCGCAGUACUCAUACAGGAACUUAUGAGCAAGAAUUGCUCUAUCAAUCACCAUCGACAUUAGAUAUAUCUUCUGAAACUUUUUUAAAAUCCAAAAGUCCAGUACCUUCCUACAAAUUAGUGAAUUAGGAGGGGGGGGCUCUUUUGUGUAGAAAAAGAAAAAGCAGAGCAAUCUUUCAAACUUGCAUCCGAAAUGGGAAAUAUUUAUACAAAGAGGGAGAGAUGAAGACAAUGCAGCAGGGUUGGUUAUCUAAUUGGCUAGUCAAACAUGAGGUGGUUCAUAGAUCUUUGGGCUUUGAUCACCGAGGAAUAGAGACUUUACAAAUAAAAGCAGGGGAUUGGGAUUCCAUUGCUGUCAUUUUAUAUGUAUAUGGUUAUAAUUAUUUACGCUCCCAAUGUGCUUAUGAUGUAGCACCCGGUGGAUCUUUAGCUAGCGUGUAUCAUCUUACAAGAAUACAAUACGGUAUAGAUAAUCCAGAAGAAGUCUGCAUAAAAGUCUUUGCCCAAAAGGAUAAUCCUAGAAUUCCGUCUGUCUUCUGGAUUUGGAGAAGUGCCGAUUUUCAAGAACGCGAAUCUUAUGAUAUGGUGGGAAUCUCUUAUGAUAAUCAUCCGCGCCUUAAACGUAUCCUAAUGCCUGAAAGUUGGAUAGGCUGGCCCUUACGUAAGGACUAUAUAACCCCCAAUUUUUAUGAAAUACAAGAUGCUCAUUGAAUGAUAAGAAAUUCGUGCUCACUUAUACAACACAACUCCAGAUUUUAUUCAAGUCAAGGAAUAUUUUUAGGUUCUUUUCCUAGAUGAAACGGAAUACCUAUUUAUAAUUAAUUCCUAUUAUACAAAAGCAUUCCAGAUAGACUGAGCCAAAAAAGGGUUUCAUUUGGAUUCCCCUAUUUUGAAAAUCACAUAUUAAUUUCCUUCAUAUGAACAGAAAAAUAGGAUGACUCAAAGAAGUUCUCUACCAGGAACUUUGUAUCGCGCACAUGACUUAGCACAACUAGGAAAAUAAGAUAAGAUAAAGAUAAGCAAGACUAAAAAAAUAUUCGUCGGAAUAGUGGAAUACAAAAUAAAGAAACGCAAAAAAAUAAAGGGGAACCUAAUCUCACCCCCUUCCUUAUCAUAAAGAAAGGGUAUAUUUUAAAACUUCUCUAAAAAGAAGUGCCUCUAUAUUUAUAUUAUAGAUUUAUCCACUUAGAUGAAUAAAUCAUACUCUAUCUAUAUUAUAUAUUAUUAAUAAAUAUGUAUCACAAUCCAUCUCGAGGUAUUUGGAUCAAUACCUAUUCGGUGGAUCUUUUUUUUUCUCUGCCAGGAACCAGAUUUGAACUGGUGACACGAGGAUUUUCAGUCCUCUGCUCUACCAACUGAGCUAUCCUGACCUUUUCUUGUGCAUCAUCCUAGUAGAGUAUUUGUAUCUAUGUCAAUUAAAAGGACUAAAAAAAUCAAUUAAAGUAUUUCAAAUUCAAAAUUUGAAAGGGGGGGGGUAGCCCUAUGCAUUGUGCAUGGUUUACUUAAAUAAUACUUAAAAAUAGAGUGAAUAACCAAGAUUUCUUGCCGAUACUCUAAUAAAAAAGAAAUCUAUUCAAUGAAUAGGAUAAGAUCCAUUGAGUUCUCUUCGCAUUCCUUUCCUUUGUGAAAGAGUAGAAUGAGAAAGCUAAUGAAUCUUAAACCCAUUGAUAAAAAGAAAAAAAAAGAGGAUUUGGGGAUAGAGGGACUUGAACCCUCACAACUUAAAAAGUCGACGGAUUUUCCUUUUACUAGAAAUUUCAUUGUUGUCAGUAUUGACAUGUAGAAUGGGACUCUCUCUUUGUCCUCGUCCGAUUAAUCCACUUUCUUUUUAAAAGUUCUCAAAACUUUGAAUUUGAAUUGAAGAAUUUGAUUAUUCAAUAUUCGAAUGGAGUGGAUUCACAAUAAUUCAAAAUAAAAUUAUGAUAUGAGUUUUUUAUUUCAUAAUCAUUUCGAAUUUUAUUUUGAAUUUUAAAAAAGAUAAAGAACCUAUAUUAUAAUAUGAGUUCUGUGAUUAAUCGUUUGCUAUGUCAGUAUCUAUACGUGUUUAUUAAAUGUAUAAAGUAUAAAACCCCCUCUUUCUACUAAUUUUAGAAUUUAGAACGGUAAUUCCAACUUAACAACACCAAACCGGUUAAUUUAAACCUCGUAAGUUUANNNNNNNNNNNNNNNNNNNNNNNNNNNNNNNNNNNNNNNNNNNNNNNNNNNNNNNNNNNNNNNNNNNNNNNNNNNNNNNNNNNNNNNNNNNNNNNNNNNNUUAAUUCCCCCCGUUACGGUGGUUCGGCCUUUAGGNGAGUUCUCAGUACCCYMAAAUACUUUAUUUAUUUGUUUGUUUGUUGCCCAGAAAAACCCUUUGGUUUUGGAUGCUCAUUACCACUGGAAAAUGAUCUUGAUUUUACUAAAGAAUAAGAUUGUACUAUGGAAAAAUAAGUCUUUUUCUUCCAAAUAUUUUUACGAAUACGCUUUUUUGACAUUGAAGUACGUUUUUUUUGGAACUGCCAUUCAAAAAGGAAAUUACUUUUUUUCUAGUUGUAUGUGAAAGACAUCUAUUGCUGCAAAUCAAUCCUUCUUUCUUGUUUUUAUUAGUAUUUAUACUUAGAUACUGAAAGAUACUGAAAUUGUGAAUUAUUUUUUACUUCAUUUUGUCUAAUGCGGAUAAGACAAGAAUUUUUAAACAUUUUUUCUGUAUAUAUUUUAUACUUUGUUUUAAUAAUAUAGAAUAUAUAGAAGGGUUUCCCAUUUAUAUCUAUUUAUAUAUCAAGUAUACUCCAUAUAUAGAUAUAUGGUAUGGAAGCCUAUCCCCCGGGGGGAUAAAAAGAAGGGAAAAUUCAAAUAGUUAAUUAAGCUCAGAAUGAUAUUGUAUUGUAUUCCAUAAAGGAAAGGAAUUCUAAUCAAAACAAAAAAUACUGAGUCUCUUAAACAAGACAUUCUAAAACUUAGGUAAUUUAUAGUCAUAAGGACUAUUCGAUAAUUUCUUAUAAACAUAGAUUUUCAUUGGAAUUCACUCAAUCAGUUAUGGAACAAGAGAGCUGUUUCAUCUUUGUUUUAAAGAAAUAUAAAAAUGAAUAGAAAGUAAAAAGUAAAACGAUUCCUUUUUUUUUUUUUGUAAAUAUCUUUAUUUAGAUAAUAACUAGGUAACGAAGUUAUUUGAUUAACUUUUUGAAUUUAACCAACUAAACCCAUUCUUCAUUUUUUAUUAUUUCAAUGAGAUAAAUUUUUUAAAAAAAUGAAGAAUUCCAGUUAUUUUUUCUUAUUCUUUUUAUUUAUUCUUUCAGAAAGAGAUAAGAGUUGGUUUGGUGAAUCGGAAACAAUUUUAUAGAAAAAUUGAAAGUAAAAAAUCGCAAUUUCUUUUCUUAUGGAACAUACAUAUCAAUAUGCAUGGGUAAUCCCUCUUCUCCCACUUCCAGUUAUUAUGUCAAUGGGAUUUGGCCUUAUUCUUAUUCCGACAGCAACAAAAAAUCUUCGUCGCAUAUGGGCUUUUCCUAGUGUUUUACUCUUAAGUAUAGCUAUGGUAUUCUCAGUUCAACUGUCUAUUCAACAAAUAAAUGGAAGUUCUAUCUAUCAAUAUCUAUGGUCUUGGACCGUCAAUAAUGAUUUUUCUUUAGAAUUUGGAUACUUGAUUGACCCACUUACUUCUAUUAUGUUAAUACUAAUUACUACUGUAGGAAUCCUGGUUCUUAUUUAUAGUGAUGGUUAUAUGUCUCACGAUGAAGGAUAUUUGAGAUUUUUUUGUUUAUAUAAGUUUUUUCAAUACUUCUAUGUUGGGAUUGGUUACUAGCUCCAAUUUGAUACAAAUUUAUUUUUUUUUGGGAACUCGUGGGAAUGUGUUCUUAUUUAUUGAUAGGCUUUUGGUUUACACGACCAAUCGCAGCGAGUGCUUGUCAAAAAGCUUUUGUAACUAAUCGUGUAGGGAUUUUGGUCUAUUAUUAGGAAUUUUAGGUUUUUUUUGGAUAACAGGUAGUUUAGAGUUUAGGGAUUUGUUCCAAAUCGCUAAUAACUGGAUUCCUAAUAAUGGAAUUAACUCUUUACUUACUACUUUGUGUGCUUUUUUAUUAUUCCUUGGUGCAGUUGCGAAAUCCGCACAAUUCCCUCUUCACGUAUGGUUACCCGAUGCUAUGGAAGGACCCACUCCUAUUUCGGCUCUUAUACACGCAGCAACUAUGGUUGCUGCGGGAAUUUUUCUUCUAGCUCGACUUCUUCCUCUUUUCAUAUCUUUACCUUUGAUAAUGAGUUUUAUUUCUUUAGUAGGUACAAUAACACUAUUCUUAGGAGCUACUUUAGCUCUUGCUCAGAGAGAUAUUAAAAGAAGCUUAGCCUAUUCUACAAUGUCUCAAUUGGGUUAUAUGAUGUUAGCUCUAGGUAUAGGUUCUUAUCAAGCUGCUUUAUUCCAUUUGAUCACUCAUGCUUAUUCAAAAGCUUUAUUGUUCUUGGGAUCUGGAUCCGUUAUUCAUUCAAUGGAACCUCUUGUUGGGUAUUCACCAGAUAAAAGUCAAAAUAUGGUUCUUAUGGGCGGUUUAAGAAAAUACAUUCCAAUCACAAGAACUACUUUUUUAUGGGGUACACUUUCUCUUUGUGGUAUUCCACCUCUUGCUUGCUUCUGGUCCAAAGAUGAAAUCCUUAGUAAUAGUUGGUUGUAUUCGCCCUUUUUUGGAAUAAUAGCUUCCUUUACUGCAGGAUUAACUGCCUUUUAUAUGUUUCGGAUAUAUUUACUUACAUUUGGUGGGUAUUUGCGUGUUCAUUUUCAAAAUUACAGUAGCACUAAAGAGAGUUCCUUGUAUUCAAUAUCCUUAUGGGGGAAAAAAGGAUACCCAAAGGAGUGAAUAGGGAUUUCGUUUUAUCAACAACGAAGAGUGGAGUUUCUUUUUUUUUCACAAAAUAUACCCAAAAUUCAAGGUAAUACAAGAAAUAGGAUAGGAUCCUUUACUACGUCUUUUGGGGCUAAAAACACUUUUGCCUAUCCGCAUGAAACGGGAAAUACUAUGUUAUUUCCUCUUCUUAUAUUACUACUUUUCACUUUGUUCAUUGGAUUCAUAGGAAUCUCUUUUGAUAAUGGAGGAAUGGAUAAUGGAAUAGCAGAGUUAACCAUAUUAUCAAAGUGGUUAACUCCCUCAAAAAACUUUACCCAGGAAAGUUCUAAUUCUUUUGUAAAUUCAUAUGAAUUUAUUACUAAUGCAAUUUCUUCUGUAACUCUAGCUAUCUUUGGUUUAUUNNNNNNNNNNNNNNNNNNNNNNNNNNNNNNNNNNNNNNNNNNNNNNNNNNNNNNNNNNNNNNNNNNNNNNNNNNNNNNNNNNNNNNNNNNNNNNNNNNNNAUCUCACCUCUUUUUUURKUUAUUCACUGGAGCAAUUAUAUAUUAAAGUCAAUCCGAGGCAAGUGUUCGGAUCUAUUAUGACAUAAAGGUUAGGUGCCUAACGGACAUUGUUUAUCUUGAAAAAACAAAUAUUUCUCGGCGUAAGAAAAAAUCUUUUUUAUUUUAAAUUUAAGAAACUAGUGUAUUUUUUUUUAGGGCAUAAGCUCCUAUCUAUAUCUACUUUCCUUGAGCAUAAUAUAGGGUUUUUUAUUUUUUAUUUGAUUCUAAAUUCCAAGAUAACUCAUUAGAAUUAUUAAUAAGAUGGUUCUAAUAUAUUAGCAAUAUUUAGAUUGGCCCCCUUUUUUUUAUUCACUUUAUUACUUCUAUUCUAGACCCUAUCCCUAUGGUUUAUUCUUAUGAAAUAUCUUAUAAAAUAGAAGGUAUAAGAAAUGGAUAUAAUGAAAUUCUUGAUUCGAUCUUACGACCUAAUUUAUUUGAUUAAUGGAUCAACAACCAAACCAUCCAUUUUAGGAAAAAAAAGGAGCAUGGUCUUAUUCAAAUUCAAAGCGCUUCGUAAUCUUCAACCAGUUUUGUGCUUCAAUAUAAUUUCCCGGAGUAAGCGCUAUAGCUUGUUUCCAAUAUUCAGCAGCUUGAUCAAACCAAGCUUCCGCAAUUUCCGAAUCACCCUCUAGAAUGGCCUGUUCUCCUCGGUCGGAAUAGGCAGUUCCUUCCCUUAGAACCGUACUUGAGAGUUUCCUACCUCAUACGGCUCAGAAAUUGCUAUCUUAAUUUCCCCUAUCUUAACUGAAUUCGAUUUAUCAAAAAUCGAUCCAAUUUGUUCUUGUGUUAAGCAGAAGAAAUUAAUUACCUAAGUUUCAAACCCUAAUUUUUCUCAAUAAUUAGUUUGAUCUUUUUUCCCACCUUCAGAAGAAUGAAGCAUAGAUAGAUAUAGAGCCUUCGUUCAAAUUUUCUGAAAGGUAACUAUCCCGGUUUCAUAUAUGAAAUCUCUAUAGAAUCCUUGAAAAAGACUUUUUUCCAUAAGAAAGAAAAAAGAACUUACUAUCUUUGGGAUCUGAUACUACACCGCUGCUUAAUCCCUUAGUGGAUCGGCUCUAUUACAUAAGCGGAUUCCUAAAUUUUGCCCCAUAUCAUGGGAUAAGUAAGCAGUUUUUUUUAGUUGUAUCGACCCAGUCGCUCACUAAUUGAUCUUUACGGUGCUUUCUCUAUCAAUUUGAGAAACUUUAUCCAUAGAGUAGUAGUAUAGGCCAUACUUUCUUCGUUUUUUGAUUCUCGUGAAGUGUCCUUCCUUCCUACAGCUGAUAGGGAAAAAUCGUUGUUUUUACGAUCCCUAUGUAGAAAGCCCUUUUUUUCCAGUAUUUACUAGAAAAUUUGAUCCUCUCUUUUUUUUGUCUUUCUAUAGUGGAGAUAGUCGCACGUAAUGACAGAUCACGGCCAUAUUAUUAAAAGCUUGCGGUAAGAAGGGGUUUCGUUCUAGUGCCCGGAAAUAAUAUUCCAAAGCCUUUGUAUGCUCUCCAUUGCUUGUGUGUAUAAGGCCUAUGUUAUAGAGUAUAUAACUUCGAUCAUAGGGAUCGAUUUCUAGUCGCGUAGCUUCAUAAUAAUUUUGCAAAGCUUCCGCAUAAUUUCCUUCGGAUUGAGCCAACAUCCGUUACGGUCGUUCAUUCUAUUCAAAAAAAUCUCCGUUCCAAAACCGUACAUGAGGUUUUCAUCUCAUACGGCUCCUCCCUUCUGUACAUAAUAGUACUAAGCGAAAUAAUCUUAAUCUAUAGAAUCAAAAUAGAAUUAGUCCCGUCUCAUUAUGAACCGAAAGGGGCUGGUAUUUUUCCAAGAAAUCUCUAGCCAACCUUCCCACAAGAGGUUUUUCUUAACACCAAUGAAUUCUAUUAAUGCUAGAGGAAAACGAUAGCUCCAAUAAUUUCUUUGUUCUCAACGCCUCCUAUUUAGAGGAAUUAGCUACUUCAACGAUCUUUGAUGGUUAUAGGGGUAUCCAAAGUACAAACCUGAUGGUUGUUUGUUAUCCCAACCAUUCUUCCCAGCCCUGAUACCGAUCAGGAAAGGGGUAAUUUCUACCAAAGUUUUUCUCUUGUUGAUUCCUAUUUCUAGGUGUAGUGCUUUUCUCCCCUAUGCUGCCUACGGAUACUAAUAGAGUGGCCUGUAAUCCAUACCAUACCAUAUCCUGUAGGUGUAACCUUUCGCUCAAUACUCAAAUCUACAAUUGAAGUAUCUGAAGCCGCAUCAAUCGAGGAUACACGACGGAAGGAAUUGUUAGUUCGCCUCACCUUCCCGAAGCGUGGGUUUGCUUGCUUUACAAAUUUGGUUCUCUCUAUGCCAACCCCUUUUCUUUUUCCUAAGACUGAGGUAUAGGUAGGUCUAAAAAAAAGCAAAAAAAAAAAGAGUCAAAUCGCACCAUCUCUAUAAUAAGUAAAUGCCUUUUUUUUCUCCUGAGGUUGUCGGAAUUAUUCGCAAUAAAAUAUUGGCUAUAAUUGAGAAGGUCUUAUCAAUGAAAUUCCWMAUUUACGACGGGAAUCUAAGGCUAUAAAUUCCCAAGCCAUUCUAUAUAGAAUUGUUUCAUUCCUUCACAAAAUAMCAUAAAAACAAACACAUUCGAUUCUUAUAAUUAUAAAUAGAUUGNNNNNNNNNNNNNNNNNNNNNNNNNNNNNNNNNNNNNNNNNNNNNNNNNNNNNNNNNNNNNNNNNNNNNNNNNNNNNNNNNNNNNNNNNNNNNNNNNNNNAAUAAUGAAUUAAGGAAGAAAGGAUAUGAUCUACCGCUUACAAAAAAAGAUCUCAUAGAUAGUCAAUAUGGGCCCUCAACACCAUCAAUGCAUGGUGUUCUUCGACUGAUCGUUACUCUUGAUGGUGAGGAUGUUAUUGAUUGUGAACCCAUAUUAGGGUAUUUACACAGAGGAAUGGAAAAAAUCGCGGAAAACCGAACGAUUAUACAAUACUUACCUUAUGUAACAAGGUGGGAUUAUUUAGCUACUAUGUUUACAGAAGCAAUAACAGUAAAUGCACCAGAAUUCUUGGAGAAUAUUCAAAUACCACAAAGAGCCAGCUAUAUUAGGGUAAUUAUGUUAGAGUUAAGCCGUAUAGCUUCUCACUUGCUAUGGCUUGGACCUUUUAUGGCGGAUCUCGGCGCACAGACUCCUUUUUUCUACAUUUUUUAGAGAGAGAGAAUUAAUAUAUGAUCUAUUUGAAGCUGCUACAGGUAUGCGAAUGAUGCACAAUUACUUCCGCAUCGGAGGAGUAGCCGCCGAUCUACCUUAUGGAUGGAUCGAUAAAUGUUUAGAUUUCUGUGAUUAUUUUUUACGCGGAGUUGUUGAAUAUCAACAACUUAUUACACAGAAUCCCAUUUUUUUAGAGCGAGUUGAAGGAGUAGGUUUUAUUAGCGGAGAAGAAGCAGUAAAUUGGGGCUUAUCGGGACCUAUGUUACGAGCUUCUGGAAUACAAUGGGAUCUUCGUAAAGUGGAUCCUUAUGAGUCUUACAACCAAUUUGAUUGGGAAAGUYCCAAUUGGCAAAAAGAGGCGAUUCAUUAGCUGCUAUUUGNNNNNNNNNNNNNNNNNNNNNNNNNNNNNNNNNNNNNNNNNNNNNNNNNNNNNNNNNNNNNNNNNNNNNNNNNNNNNNNNNNNNNNNNNNNNNNNNNNNNGGGGAUAGAGGGACUUGAACCCUCACAAACUUUAAAAAAGGUCGACGGAGUUUUUUUCCCUUUUUUUACUAGAAAUUUUCAUUUGUUGUCAGUUAUUGACAUGUAGAAUGGGACUCUCUCUUUGUCCUCGUCCGAUUAAUCCACUUUUCUUUUUUUAAAAGUUUCUCAAAACUUUGAAUUUGAAUUUGAAGAAAUUUUGAUUAUUUCAAUAUUCGAAUGGAGUGGAUUCACAAUAAUUUCAAAAUAAAAUUAUGAUAUGAGUUUUUUAUUUCAUAAUCAUUUCGAAUUUUAUUUUGAAAUUUUAAAAAAGAUAAAGAACCUAUAUUAUAAUAUGAGUUCUGUGAUUAAUCGUUUGCUAUGUCAGUAUCUAUACGUGUUUAUUAAAUGUAUAAAGUAUAAAACCCCUCUUUCUCUAAUUUAGAAUUAGAAGGAAUUCCACUAACAACACAACGUAAUUAACUCGAUUCGUUAGAACAGCUUCCAUUGAGUCUCUGCACCUAUCCUUUUCCUUUGUAUUCUAGUUCGAGAAUCCCUUCUCAAAACACGGAUUUGGCUCAGGAUUGCCCUUUUUUAAUUCCAGGGUUUCUCUGAAUUUGGAAGUUACCACUUAGCAGGUUUCCAUACCAAGGCUCAAUACAAUCAAGUCCGUAGCGUCUACCGAUUUCGCCAUAUCCCACUUCCCUCUUCUUUGAGACCAGGAUUCCUUGUGUAAUUUCAUCCAUCUCUUAGUUUUUUUUUUGAAUCAUUGAGUUCAUCACUCAACGUAGUCUAGCAGUUCAGUUCGACUCUAUUUGAGAGACCCCGCUUGCUUAUUGCAAUUCUGAAUUACAUUGAUUCUAUCCUUGAUGUAUUUGCAAUUCAAUCCGAAUCAAUAUAUCCAAAACUUUUUAUCUCCCCCACCUCCCGUCUUACUUUUUUAUAGUAUUCGAAAUUAUACUAUAACGCUGGAUAUUUAUUCUUUUUUUCUAAUCAGAAUUAUCAAUUUUAUUUACUCUGACUUUAUGUUCCCCUUAGUGAAAUAUUAAUCCUCAAAUUAUUAACAAAUAAUAAAGUCUAUAAUGAUCGAAUGAAAAUACCCAUAAAGUCUAUAAUUUCUUUUUAAAUAUCCUAUAGUUAAGCAUAUCAAGCUAACUUUAUCUUUAAGAAGUUUUAGUAUUUUUUUAUUUAGUAUUUUUUUAUAAGUAGAACUUCAAAUUUAGAACUAGUUAAUAGCUAAGAGUAAUAACUAAUAUCUGAGAUUUUACGGAUUUCCUAUACUAUACCUAUUUCUAUUUGUUACACUAUUUCCGUUAUGUAAGCCCACUUAGCUCAGAGGUUAGAGCAUCGCAUUUGUAAUGCGAGGGUCAUCGGUUCAAAUCCGAUAGUCGGCUUUUUUUUUCUCUAUCGAUGUUCUACGAACAAGAAUCUCUUUUUUUCCGAAUUAAAUGGAGAAUCCAGGAUCUUUUAUGUUUUUUACCUUACUAUUUUGCUAGAUACAAACAAUAAAAUAAAUAAUAUAUAUACAAAAAAUACAAAAAAUACAGAUUUUGAUGAAAUUCCAUUUUUUGUGGUACUUUAGUUGAUUUUACUCUGUUUAUCCUGUAGUUUAAUUCAGUUUUAAUUUCGAUGUAUUCUGUAAUGUAAAUACAAUGAAAUUAAUUGUGUAAAAUGAAAUUUCAAUAAAAAAAAGGAGUCUUCAUGUCCCGUUAUCGAGGACCUCGUUUAAAAAAAAUACGCCGUUUGGGAGCUUUACCAGGACUCACUAGAAAAACACCUAAAUCCGGAAGUAAUCUUAAAAAAAAAAUUCAAUUCUGGGAAAAAGGAGCAAUAUCGUAUUCGUCUUCAAGAAAAACAGAAAUUGCGUUUUCAUUAUGGUCUGACAGAACGACAAUUACUUAGAUAUGUACAUAUCGCUGGAAAAGCAAAAAGGUCAACAGGCCAGGUUUUACUACAAUUACUUGAAAUGCGUUUGGAUAAUAUCCUUUUUCGAUUGGGUAUGGCUUCAACCAUUCCUGGGGCCCGCCAAUUAGUCAACCAUAGACAUAUUUUAGUUAAUGGCCGUAUAGUCAAUAUACCAAGUUUUCGUUGCAAACCCCGAGAUAUUAUUACUACGAAAGAUAACCAAAGAUCAAAAGGUCUGGUUCAAAAUUAUAUUGCUUCAUCGGACCCGGGGAAAUUGCCAAGCCAUUUGACGAUUGACACAUUGGAAUAUAAAGGACUAGUAAAUAAAAUCCUAGAUAGGAAGUGGGUCGGUCUCAAAAUAAAUGAGUUGUUAGUUGUAGAAUAUUACUCUCGUCAGACUUGAACUUAAUGAAAAAAGGAAAGGUUCAUAGAAUUUUCUUCCCCUUCCCCUUUCCCCGAACUAAAUAGCCCUAAGACCAUUACCAUUAAUUCGUAUUUUCCCAUCAACUAGCUAAAAUUGAUUAACCCUAGGAUUAGGAUCCUUUUUGCUUUUUUCCUCUAUGUUUACAUACCACAGUAAUUUGCUAUAGAGAAUUUUUAAUUUCUAUUAAAUAAAAAUAAGAUAAUAUAAGAUAUUAUUACUGGAAUAAAUUGCUAUUUGAUUUGAUACAUUGUGAUCCUUAACGUUGAUGAAUUAAGAAAAACGGAAAGAGAGGGAUUCGAACCCUCGGUAAACAAAAGUCUACAUAGCAGUUCCAAUGCUACGCCUUGAACCGCUCGGCCAUCUUUCCUACAUAACUUAUUAUGGAAAUAAACUGAGUGAAUAGCGAGUUUUCUUAUUCCUGCAGUACAGGUACAACCGCAACCGCUCGGGGGUUCCCUAGUUCUAUUGGAAAAAUUCCUUUUGAUCUAGGUGGAAGGAUACAGGAUUUUUUACUAGAAAUUGCGCUCGCUAUAAAAUAAAAGUUUUAAUUUAGGUUUUCCCGCAACUAAAGAAAAAGAGAAUGCAAGAAUUCUUCUUAUUGCAUAAUAAAAUAAAGAAACCUUAGAAUUCCGUUUGCAUAAGAUACGCUACACCAUUGAAAUCAAAAAUAGAGUAUGAGACAAUUAAUAACUUUGRAAAACACGAAAUAGUUGAUGACAUAAGUUGUUGUUCAGAAAUAGGAAAGUGGAAUGAAAUCCAGUCUUAGUCAAAUAUUGCAUAUCUCUUCGUGUCCAAGCAGAAGGAAAAGGAUACAAUUUGAGCUGAGCGGAAAAUCCAUAUCUCUCUUAUCCAUUUAAACAUAUGGAUUUAGAGCAUAUGGAUCAAUCUAUUUAUAAUUAUAAGAAUCGAAUGUGUUUGUUUUUAUGUUAUUUGUGAAGGAUGAAAACAAUUUCUAUAUAGAAUGGCUUAGGGAAUUAUUGGCCUAGAUCCCGUGUAAAUGGAAAUUUCGAUUGAUAAGNNNNNNNNNNNNNNNNNNNNNNNNNNNNNNNNNNNNNNNNNNNNNNNNNNNNNNNNNNNNNNNNNNNNNNNNNNNNNNNNNNNNNNNNNNNNNNNNNNNNUAGGGGUUCAUUGAUAUUCCUGGUNUAGUAGAUNCUAUCACNCAUACAGUCAUACUCAAUUCGAUGGAAUUGUUUGAUCUUAAAGGGGAUCUUCUAUAAUUUCGCACAUAAGGGUUAUUUCUUGGUUUCGUCCAGUCAUUAAUAACUUGAUUAUUUUUUAGAUAAUAGUAGAUAGAAAGAACGCUCGUAAGGAGUCCUAUUGAAACCAAGAAAUAUAGGCCUGCUUGCCAUCCACACCAGAAUAGAUAGAGUUUUCCGAAGAAACCUGCUAGUGGAGGAAGGCCUCCUAGGGAUAAGAGACAUAGGGCUAAAGAGAGAGCCAAAAAAAGGAUCUUUCAUGUAUAAUCCUGCAUAAUCUCGAAUGUUAUCAGUUCCGGUACGUAGACCAAAUAAUACAAUGCAAGCAAAAGUUCCUAGAUUCAUGGAGAUAUAGAACAGCAUAUAAGUUAUCAUGCUUGCAUAUCCAUCAUUUGAUCUCCAACAAUUACUUCCAAAUAAUUACAUAUCCGAUUUUGCCCUUAAUGGACGAAUAUGCAAGCAUACGUUUCAUGCUUGUUNAGUAUAAGUACGAGAAGGAUUACCCCGUUAAAACCCUAAAACGUNUAACGUUCGUNNNNNNNNNNNNNNNNNNNNNNNNNNNNNNNNNNNNNNNNNNNNNNNNNNNNNNNNNNNNNNNNNNNNNNNNNNNNNNNNNNNNNNNNNNNNNNNNNNNNCAUUCCAUUACAAUAUCAUCAAGAACAAGAGAAAGAACUAAUAUCCUGUUUUGGGAUUUCGAUUGAAAUCCCCUUUAUGGGUGUUUUACGUAGAAAUACUAUUUUUGCUUAUUUUGACGAUCCCCGAUACAGAAAAGAUAAAAAGGGUUCAGGAAUUGUUAAAUUUAGAUAUAGGACCCUAGAAGAAGAAUAUAGGACUCGAGCGGAAGACUCAGAAGAGGAAUAUGAGACCCUAGAACACGAAUACAGGACCCGAGAGGACGAAUAUGAAACCCUAGAAGAAUCUAAAUAUGGAAUCCUAGAAGACGAAUACGAAUAUGAAACCCUAGAAAACGAAUAUGGGAGCCCAGAAAACAAAUAUGGGAACCCAGAGAACGAAUAUAGGACUUUAGAGAAAGACUCAGAAGAGGAAUAUGGGAACCCAGAGAGCAAAUAUAGGACCCAAGAGGACGAAUAUGGAACUUUAGAAGAAGACUCAGAAGACGAAUAUGGCAGCCCCGGGGAAAGCGGCGAGGAAAAAUAUGGUACUUUAGAGGAAGACUCAGAAGAAGACUCAGAGGACGAAUACGAGAGCCCAGAGGAAGAUUCCAUCUUAAAAAAAGAGGGUUUGAUUGAGCAUCGAGGAACAAAAGAAUUUAGUCUAAAAUACCAAAAAGAAGUAGAUCGGUUUUUUUUCAUUCUUCAAGAACUUCAUAUCUUGCCGAGAUCUUCAUCCCUAAAGAUACUUGACAAUAGUAUUAUUGGAGUGGAUACACAACUCACAAAAAAUACAAGAAGUGGACUAGGCGGACUGGUCCGAGUGAAGAGAAAAAAAAGCCAUACGGAACUCAAAAUAUUUUCCGGAGAUAUUCAUUUUCCUGAAGAGGCAGAUAAGAUAUUAGGUGGGUGUUUGAUACCGCCAGAAAGACAAAAAAAAGAUUCUAAGGAAUCAAAAAAAAAGAAAAAUUGGGUCUAUGUUCAACGGAAAAAAAUUCUCAAGAGCAAGGAAAAGUAUUUUGUUUCCGUUCGCCCUACAGUGGCAUAUGAAAUGGACGAAGGAAGAAAUUUAGCAACACUUUUCCCGCAGGAUCUCUUGCAAGAAGAAAAUAAUCUCCAAAUUCGACUUGUCAAUUUUAUUUAUCAUGAAAAUAGCAAGUUAACUCAAAGAAUUUAUCACACAAAUAGUCAAUUUGUUAGAACUUGCUUAGUAGUGAAUUGGGAACAAGAAGAAAAAGAAAAGGCUGGUGCUUCCCUUGUUGAGGUAAGAGCAAAUGAUCUUAUUCGCGAUUUCCUAAGAAUUGAGUUAGUCAAGUCCACUAUUUCGUAUACACGAAAAAGGUAUGAUAGGACAAGUGGAGGACCGACUCCCCAUAAUAGGUUAGAUCGCGCCAAUAGCAAUUCUUUUUAUUCCAAGGCGAAGAUUGAAUCACUUAGCCAACAUCAAGAAGCUAUUGGCACUUUGUUGAAUCGAAAUAAAGAAUACCAAUCUUUGAUGAUUUUGUCGGCAUCCAACUGUUCUCGAAUUGGUUUAUUCAAGAAUUCAAAACAUCCCAAUGCGAUAAAAGAAUGGAAUCCUAGAAUUCCUAUUCUAGAAAUUUUUGGGCCCUUAGGGGCUAUUGUAGCUAGUAUAUCGCAUUUUUCUUCAUCUUACUAUUUACUAACGCAUAAUAAAAUCCUGCUAAAAAAAUAUUUGUUCGUUGACAAUUUGAAACAAACCUUCCAAGUACUUCAAGAACUUAAAUACUCUUUAAUAGAUGAAAAUAAAAGGAUUUCCAAUUUCGAUAGUAACAUAAUGUUGGAUCCAUUCCUUUUGAAUUGUCACUUUGUCCAUCAUGAUUCUUGGGAAGAGACAUUGGCAAUAAUUCACCUUGGACAAUUUAUUUGUGAAAAUGUAUGUCUAUUUAAAUCGCACAUAAAAAAAAUCUGGUCAAAUUUUCAGUGUAAAUAUGGAUUCCUUUGUUAUAAGAGCAGCUAAACCUUAUUUGGCCACUACAGGAGCAACUGUUAAUGGUCAUUAUGGAGAAAUCCUUUACAAGGGAGAUAGGUUAGUUACGUUUAUAUAUGAAAAAUCGAGAUCUAGUGACAUAACGCAAGGUCUUCCAAAAGUGGAACAAAUCUUUGAAGCGCGUUCAAUUGAUUCAUUAUCCCCCAAUCUCGAAAGGAGAAUUGAGGAUUGGAAUGAGCGUAUACCAAGAAUUCUUGGGGUCCCUUGGGGAUUCUUGAUUGGAGCUGAGCUAACCAUAGCCCAAAGUCGUAUUUCUUUGGUUAAUAAAAUCCAAAAGGUUUAUCGAUCCCAAGGGGUACAGAUCCAUAAUAGACAUAUAGAGAUUAUUAUACGCCAAGUAACAUCAAAAGUGCGGGUUUCCGAAGAUGGAAUGUCUAAUGUUUUUUCGCCUGGGGAAUUAAUCGGACUAUUGCGAGCGGAACGAGCAGGGCGAGCUUUGGAUGAAUCGAUCUAUUAUCGGGCAAUCUUAUUGGGAAUAACAAGGGCUUCCCUGAAUACCCAAAGUUUCAUAUCUGAAGCAAGUUUUCAAGAAACUGCUCGAGUUUUAGCAAAAGCUGCCCUACGAGGUCGCAUUGAUUGGUUGAAAGGCUUGAAAGAAAACGUAGUUCUGGGGGGGAUUAUACCUGUUGGUACCGGAUUCCAAAAAUUUGUGCAUCGUUCCCCACAAGACAAGAACCUUUAUUUCGAAAUAAAAAAAAAAAAUCUAUUCGCGUCGGAAAUGAGAGAUUUUUUGUUUCUCCAUACAGAAUUAGUUUCUUCAGAUUCUGACGUAACAAACAAUUUUUAUGAGACAUAAAAACCCCCAUUUAACAUUUAACCCUAAGGAUACAUAAACAUAUUUUUUACUUUACUAGACUUUUGAACUUAGAACACUAACAGGUUAAAUUUUAGAUUUUUAAGAUUUUUAUUUUAAUAAGUAAACAAGUCAGUUAAUUCAUUAAAUUAAGGUUUUGUUUAUACCAUGUAUCAAUGUAUCAAUGGCCAACUCUUAGUACAAGGUUCUCUCAGAACAAUUAUUAUUUUAUUUAUUUCAAGCUAUUUCGGAUCUUUCUUAAUCUUCAAAAARRAAUAAAUUCCGUAAUGGAAUGUUAGGAUGARAAAAAAAGGAAGUGUAGGAAAAAWWGACAAGAAGAUAUUGGAACAUUAAAUUUAGUAAAGAGAUGAAUAGAAGCAGGAAGUUCCUAGUUUUGGUACUAGUUAGGGNNNNNNNNNNNNNNNNNNNNNNNNNNNNNNNNNNNNNNNNNNNNNNNNNNNNNNNNNNNNNNNNNNNNNNNNNNNNNNNNNNNNNNNNNNNNNNNNNNNNUUCUAUAUAUAUAGAAAUAUCAUAGAUAGAAUAGACAUAUAGAAUUUUGGUCGGCAAAUUCGAAGGAAUCAUUGAGUGAAAAAGGAGCAAAGAAUGACAAAAGACGAGACUCUACUAGUCUUCACUCUUGUGGUUUCCUCUUCCUCGGUUUCUGUUUUCUUAUUCGGGAUCUUGCUUUUCAUGGUUCUCAUCUCUGCAACUCGCGAUUUUCGCGAGAGAACCAAAUCCAAGUUGGUGAAGAUCAUGAUUUGGGCUGGCACGGUAUUGGGAUCGUUUGAUCGAUUUCCUUAAUUUGAUCGCUACUUAAUGGGCGUGCGCUCAAAGGAUACAAACAGGGAUUCGCAAACAAAAAGGGGAAUUCGUAGUCACUUUUUCCUGUCGCGUAAAAAAAAAGUCUUUACGCGAGAGCAAUAGAGGUUGGGAUACAUCUAUCUCUUCUGAGCAACCUCUUUGAUUCUUAAGACUACCCUUGCAGUAGGAUACCAUCUGCUUUGGGUUCUUUAUUAUCUCCUUUCGAGGGAUUUUUAAGAUCGUUCAGGCUAUAUUUAGUCUAUUUUUGGCUUUUACUGUCUACUUUU